AUUCCCCUGAAGAGACGAAUAAGUCCCUUAAAAGGCCCCUAACGUCGAAAUUGCAAUGGGGAAU
rnacentral:hammerhead_ribozyme from 1 species